rnacentral:rRNA from 1 species
UGGGGAAUAUUGCACAAUGGGCGCAAGCCUGAUGCAGCCAUGCCGCGUGUAUGAAGAAGGCCUUCGGGUUGUAAAGUGCUUUCAGCGGGGAGGAAGGUGUUGUGGUUAAUAACCACAGCAAUUGACGUUACCCGCAGAAGAAGCACCGGCUAACUCCGUGCCAGCAGCCGCGGUAAUACGGAGGGUGCAAGCGGUAAUCGGAAUUACUGGGCGUAAAGCGCACGCAGGCGGUCUGUCAAGUCGGAUGUGAAAUCCCCGGGCUCAACCUGGGAACUGCAUCCGAAACUGGCAGGCUUGAGUCUUGUAGAGGGGGGUAGAAUUCCAGGUGUAGCGGUGAAAUGCGUAGAGAUCUGGAGGAAUACCGGUGGCGAAGGCGGCCCCCUGGACAAAGACUGACGCUCAGGUGCGAAAGCGUGGGGAGCAAACA